rfam:Canis lupus familiaris chromosome 8, whole genome shotgun sequence.
GGGGGGAGGCCGGAUCCUGGGCUGUGUCCCGGCGCCCUGUGCUCCGGAGCCUGCGCUGUUGGAUUCGCGCUCCCGGCCCACAGCCCCCU